CCCUCAUGAGGAUGUGAAUACCAACAAACCCUCCUGUUGACCAGUAGUCUGGUGUUACAUGAUGAGGCCUAACACAGCAAGCCUGGUUCUUGGUGUAAAGAGGUAGAAGGAUCUCUAGAAUGUUCUAGAUCCAAGUAUCCUGGUGUAGUGUCCCCAUGGUUUGAUAAGAGCUGCAUCUUAAACCGUGGUAUGUCAUCUGCCAUGACAGCCCGUCCACCAGUUCCAGGUUGUACUGGUUCCAGGCUCCUGUGGGGCAGGUAUAAGAGAGCAGGUAUAAGAGAGCAGAUAUAGGAGAGCAGGUAUAAGAGAGCAGGUACAAGAGAGGAUUCUAAUAGGUGGAGCUCCAAUGAAGACACAGAUGUGCUUCUGUUGUUUUGUAGUUGAGUAUGU